CCUACGGGAGGCAGCAGUGAGGAAUAUUGGUCAAUGGGCUUACGCCUGAACCAGCCAAGUCGCGUGAGAGAAGACUGCCCUAUGGGUUGUAAACCUCUUUUGUCAGGGAGCAACGCCGGCUACGUGUAGCCGGACUGAGAGUACCUGAAGAAAAAGCAUCUGCUAACUCCGUGCCAGCAGCCGCGGUAAUACUGAGGAUGCGAGCGUUAUCCGGAUUUAUUGGGUUUAAAGGGUGCGUAGGCGGAAUGCCAAGUCAGCGGUAAAAUCGCGGGGCUCAACCUCGCUCCGCCGUUGAAACUGGCGGUCUUGAGUGGGCGAGAAGUAUGCGGAAUGCGUGGUGUAGCGGUGAAAUGCAUAGAUAUCACGCAGAACUCCGAUUGCGAAGGCAGCAUACCGGCGCCCAACUGACGCUGAAGCACGAAAGCGUGGGUAUCGAACAGGAUUAGAUACCCCUGUAGUC
rnacentral:rRNA from 1 species